rnacentral:rRNA from 1 species
GACGAACGCUGGCGGCGUGCCUAAUACAUGCAAGUCGAACGCUUCUUUCCUCCCGAGUGCUUGCACUCAAUUGGAAAGAGGAGUGGCGGACGGGUGAGUAACACGUGGGUAACCUACCCAUCAGAGGGGGAUAACACUUGGAAACAGGUGCUAAUACCGCAUAACAGUUUAUGCCGCAUGGCAUAAGAGUGAAAGGCGCUUUCGGGUGUCGCUGAUGGAUGGCCCCGCGGUGCAUUAGCUAGUUGGUGAGGUAACGGCUCACCAAGGCCACGAUGCAUAGCCGACCUGAGAGGGUGAUCGGCCACACUGGGACUGAGACACGGCCCAGACUCCUACGGGAGGCAGCAGUAGGGAAUCUUCGGCAAUGGACGAAAGUCUGACCGGGCAACGCCGCGUGAGUGAAGAAGGUUUUCGGAUCGUAAAACUCUGUUGUUAGAGAAGAACAAGGACGUUAGUAACUGAACGUCCCCUGACGGUAUCUAACCAGAAAGCCACGGCUAACUACGUG